rnacentral:tRNA from 1 species
GCAUCUAUCGUAUAAUGGUAUUAUUGAGGUCUUCCAAACCUACGAUGUCAGUUCGAUUCUGACUAGAUGCUCCA